rnacentral:rRNA from 1 species
UACAGAGGGGGCAAGCGUUGUUCGGAAUUACUGGGCGUAAAGUGUGCGCAGGCGGCAGAGCAAGUCGAGUGUGAAAGCCCCGGGCUUAACUUGGGAAUUGCGCUCGAAACUACUUUGCUGGAGUGUGGCAGAGGAAGGUGGAAUUCCACGUGUAGCGGUGAAAUGCGUAGAGAUGUGGAGGAACACCAAUGGCGAAGGCAGCCUUCUGGGCCAACACUGACGCUCAUGCACGAAAGCGUGGGGAGCAAACAGG